GAGCGCUGAACGAGGACCCCUCCGGGGUCCUUUUUCAUGUCCCCCGGGAACCGCCGCGGCCUGCGGCGCUGUC
rnacentral:tRNA from 1 species